GAAAUUUGUGGCACAGGAAAUGAAUUCGUAGAAAAUAAUUCAUUUCCGGUUCCUGUUAUAUUUCUUCAUGCUUCACCACCACUCUCGCCAUCACUGGUAAGACUGGUACAGCAGUGGCACUAUCGAGUACAAUAGAAUAGAUACAUACAGAUACUAGUCAUGUCUAAGGCAGAGGAAGAUAUCAAGAAGGUUGUUGCUGGAACAGAGUAUCCAGUAAUUGAAGAAAUAGCCCUGAAAUUCAAGCCAAAGGACACGCUUAUAGGGAUAGGUUCUUCUGACAGAGUGCGCUUUGCAGCACACAAGGGAACAGGAUGUUGCUGUCAAGUAUUCCAUAUUAGCAAGAGAGCAUAAAGAAUUAGAACAAGAGUUAUUAAUUUUCAAUUCUCUUCAGAAACAUGAUAAUAUUGCAGUUCUCCUUGGAACAGGACCAAAUGAGCGCUUCAUUAUAAGGGAAUUUGCUCCUUAUUCUUUGGAAACAGUAUUACAUGGGUCAUAUCCUCAUUGCUAUACUUAUGAAUAUAAUCAUGUGAUGCAUUGGGCUCGUCAAACUGCUGUAGGUCUGGAGUACAUACACAGUAAAGGAUUUCUCUGUCCAGGAAUAAAACCAUCGAAGUAAGCAUGAAGUAGGAAAA